AUGCGGCCGGUUACCGGGAACCGCAAGGUUGCAAGUUACAGUCACUCAAUUGAAAUGUUUGCCUUAGGAAUGAAGAUGGAUGAGCGGAGGUUUGAAGCCGCUCGACCCAAACAAGCAACGGCGAGCCCCUAUCAGAGAAAGCCUUGGUCAAGCGCGCUAGCGCGCUUUACUUGGAGGUUCGCGCAUCCUCUUGCUGGGAGAGGAAAGCCUGGAACUGAUGAAAUUCGGGGGAAACAUGGAAUCGGUCACUAUACUGGGGGGGCGAGACAUGACCGCGACUUAAGAUUCAAGUACCGUUGA